GUGUCAUGGGACCUCGCCUUUGUCACGUCCGAGGAGGGAGGGGCGAGUGAUCGGGCCCAGCCCACGUUCAGAGGCUCUGCAUAAGGGCUGGCCUGGCUGGCCUCUGCUCUUCCAUUCAUCAUUCACGUUAAGUCGCUUCAGGCCUGUCGGACUCUGGGACCCUGUGGACCUGCAGCCCACCAGGCCCCUCUGUCCAUGGGAUUCUCCAGGCAAGAAAACUGGAGUGAGUUGCCGUGCCGUGCCCUUCUCCAGGGGAUCUUCCCGACCCAGGGAUCCUGCCCACGUUUCCUAACCCGCCUGCCGUGAGAAAGACCCUGGUUUGAUGCCUGGGUCGGGAAGGUCUGCUGGGGAAGGGAUGGCUACCUGCUCCAGAAUUCCUGGGCUUCCCUGUGGCUCAGCUGGUAAAGAAUCUGCCUGCAGUGUGGGAGGUUCAGUCCUCGGGUUGGGAAGAUCCCCUGGAGAGGGAAAGGCUGCCCACUCCAGUAUUCUGGCCUGGAGAAUUCCGUGGACUGUAUGGUCCGUGGGGUCACGAAGAAUCAGACACAACUGAGCGACUUUCACUUUCACUUUGCACCACUACCACGUGGGAGCCCGGAAACCCCCGAUUUGGGCAAGAUGCCCCAUGAAGAGGCCGCCAGCUCCUGGCCAUGUGGCUGGUGAGUCAGCCCUGUCCCUUGCUCCUGGUCUCCCUCUCUGCAGGACAGUGGCCUCACCCACAGCAACCUUCUCCAGUCCCUCCCUGGCAUGCCUGUGGCUGCCUAGUCAGAUCAGAGAUCAGCAGAUGCCUGUUGACGCAGGGAGCCGGGAGGGGCCCCAGCAGGCCCUACUCCAGCUGGUCAAGCAGUCUUACUGCGUCCACACCUCUCACCCUGCUCUGUCCUUACAAGAGGCCAUCCGCGGUGCAUGGUGAUGGGGACCAGGCCCUUGGAGUCAAGUGGAACCUGCAUCCAGUUCAGAUACAUUACUUAAGCCCUGGGACCCUAGACAUUCUGUCUGUGGAGGAAACGUUUCCUGUUUAGUUGGUAUGUUGGAGGUCUCCAGGUCUACCCUCGGCCUCAGUGGCUUGGUAGAAAGACUCAUAAUUCAGGAAAGCUGUUCAACUCAUGCUUACAGUUCACUCUAGUAGAAGAGUAGAGGUUAAAAUCAGGAAAGGAAAGUGUAUACAGAGCAGAGCGCAGGAGCUCCCAGGUGUGGCGGUCUGGCUGUGCUGCCCACGGGAGGCCUGCAGAUGGCGCUUAGUUCUCCCGGCGACUGUGUGUGACAGCGCGCACAGGAGUGGCCAGCGGGGACUCUCAUCCAGUCCCCCGUGUCCAGGGUUUGUGUGGAAGGGCAGUCUCGUAAGCAGAGAGCACCCCCAUGGCUGACCACAGAUACACGGUCUCCAUUGCGAGCACGCGUGCUGAAUCACUUCAGCGGUGCACAGCUCUUGGCGACCUACGGACUGUGGCCCGUCAGGCUCCUGUCCGUGGACUUCUCCCGGCAAGAAUGCUGGAGUGGGUUGCCGUGCCGCCUCCAGGGGAUCUUCUCGACCCAGGGACUGAACCCAGGUCUCUUGCGUCUCCUGCACUGCAGGCGGAUUCUUUGCCACUGAGCCACCACGGUCUUCAUUACCAUCCCCCAGCCACGGCCCCAGGCUACCUCACAUGGUUGGCAUCAGCUGUCUGGGGUGGCCCUGGGCCCCAGGCACACAAAGGCACUCUUCCCAUGUGGACACUGCAAGGGCCUGCGUGCUGCCCCCCAGGAGCUAGGCCAGGGCCCGUCCUCGCUGUGGGACGGGCAGGGUGUGGACCUCCCAAGCGUGCUGAGCUCUCUCUUUACUGCACACUUGAUCUGGACAUUCAACACGUGUCCCAGUCAGGGUCCAGACAGGAAAGCUGAAACCACUGUAGGUAUUUAGAACAAACAAUUUAACACAAGGAGAUUGUCUCACAGGGGAUUGAAGACCUGGGAAGCAACACAGGAGGCAGGGAGCCCAG
ensembl:lncRNA